rnacentral:lncRNA from 1 species
UGUUUCUCUAAAAUGCACACAUUUUCUCACUUCUUCUGCAAGUUAAUGAUCAAGGAGGAUGUACUUUAGCAGCUUUUUGUAAAGUCACCCAGAAUCUGUUGUCAGGCAUAGUGCUAGGCUCUCUGGGAGAAAGCAGUGCCCUUUUAAUGUAUGCAUUCUGAUUAAUUUCUUCUUGGACUGCACUUAGACUCACCUCUAAGAGCUUGCCUGCAGUAAGAGCACAAGAAUCAGGAGUGGAUUGGGUUUACUAUCUUACCCAGUCCAGCAUUCGAAGAUAUGGACCCCAAGAGAUGUGUUUCUGGAAGAUGGAUGUGUUUGACUCCAUGAGCAUCCCCUAUAAAGGUCUGGGAAUGCAAGCGUAGAGCCAUUGGCAGCCACUUUGUCAUCAUGAGGGGUGACUGACUGAGCAUGGCAUCCACACAUGGGAGUCCAGUGGCAUAAUACAUUCUUAUGAAGAACUGAAACAAUUUCCAGAAUAAAGUAGUAACGCUGGUAAGCUAGCA